CAUGCAGUCGAGCGCACCUUCGGGUGAGCGGCGGACGGGUUAGUAGCGCGUGGGAACGUACCCUUUAGUAAGGAAUAGCCUCUGGAAACGGAUAGUAAUACCUUAUACGCCCUUCGGGGGAAAGAUUUAUCGCUAAAGGAUCGGCCCGCGUUAGAUUAGAUAGUUGGUGGGGUAACGGCCUACCAAGUCUACGAUCUAUAGCUGGUUUUAGAGGAUGAUCAGCAACACUGGGACUGAGACACGGACCAGACUCCUACGGGAGGGAGCAGUGGGGAAUCUUAGACAAUGGGCGCAAGCCUGAUCUAGCCAUGCCGCGUGAGUGACGAAGGCCCUAGGGUCGUAAAGCUCUUUCGCCAGGGAUGAUAAUGACAGUACCUGGUAAAGAAACCCCGGCUAACUCCGUGCCAGCAGCCGCGGUAAUACGGAGGGGGUUAGCGUUGUUCGGAAUUACUGGGCGUAAAGCGCGCGUAGGCGGAUUAGAAAGUUGGGGGUGAAAUCCCAGGGCUCAACCCUGGAACUGCCUCCAAAACUACUAGUCUAGAGUUCGAGAGAGGUGAGUGGAACUCCGAGUGUAGAGGUGAAAUUCGUAGAUAUUCGGAAGAACACCAGUGGCGAAAGCGGCUCACUGGCUCGAUACUGACGCUGAGGUGCGAAAGUGUGGGGAGCAAACAGGAUUAGAUACCCUGAUAGUCCACACCGUAAACGAUGAAUGCCAGUCGUCGGGUAGCAUGCUAUUCGGGGACACACCUAACGGAUUA
rnacentral:rRNA from 1 species